rnacentral:rRNA from 1 species
CCUACGAGUGGCAGCAGUGAGGAAUAUUGGUCAAUGGGCGCGAGCCUGAACCAGCCAAGUCGCGUGAGGGAGGACGGCCCUACGGGUUGUAAACCUCUUUUGCCGGGGAGCAACGGGCGCCACGUGUGGCGUCACUGAGAGUACCAGGAGAAAAAGCAUCGGCUAACUCAGUGCCAGCAGCCGAGGUAAUACGUAGGAUGCGAGCGUUAUCCGGAUGUAUUGGGUUUAAAGGGUGCGUCGGGGGAUCGGUAAGUCAGUGGUCAAAUUGAGGGGCUCAACCCCUUCCCGCCAUUGAAACUGGCGUUCUUGAGUGGAAGAGAAGUAUGCGGAAUGCGUGGUGUAGCGGUGAAAUGCAUAGAUAUCACGCAGAACCCCGAUUGCGAAGGCAGCAUGCCGGCUUCCGACUGACGCUGAAGCACGAAAGCGUGGGGAUCGAACAGGAUUAGAUACCCUUGUAGUC